GGGAUUUAUAUCUUUUGCCCCAAACAAUCACGGAGGGAUUGAUAAAGUGAGAAUGUUUAAAAACACAGAAACCAGAUUAACACUGCUUGGAGGGACCUAAGGCCAGGAGCAACUGCACAUAAGGAGAGAGAAAAGAUUGUGGGGCGGUGGAAGGCGUUGGCUGGCUAAAAUGGACGAGGUGUUGGAGAGCAGACGGGUACGUUUAUGAUAACACAGAGGAGCAGCGGAGCAGACUGUCAACUGAUUUUGAUGAAGGUCAGUGCUCGGAGGAGAGGAGUUGUGGAACUCUCUGCGUCUCGAGAGGAUUUCUUCCAGGGCUGGGAGGACUCAAAAAUAUCCCAUAAUAUCUGACGGUUUCCUGCCUGAGAUUCACAAGGACAA